rnacentral:rRNA from 1 species
UACGUAGGGUGCGAGCGUUGUCCGGAAUUAUUGGGGCGUAAAGGGCUCGUAGGCGGUUUGUCGCGUCGGGAGUGAAAUCCUACGGCUUAACUGUGGGCUUGCUUUCGAUACGGGCAGACUAGAGGUAUGCAGGGGAGAACGGAAUUCCUGGUGUAGCGGUGAAAUGCGCAGAUAUCAGGAGGAACACCGGUGGCGAAGGCGGUUCUCUGGGCAUGAUCUGACGCUGAGGAGCGAAAGUGUGGGGAGCGAACAGG